AAAGUCGUAACAAGGUUUCCGUAGGUGAACCUGCGGAAGGAUCAUUAAAAGAGUUAGGGUCCUAGUGGCCCAACCUCCAACCCUCUGUUGUUAAAACUACCUUGUUGCUUUGGCGGGACCGUUCGGUCCCCGAGGCGUUAACCUUCGGGUUGGGAGCGCCCGCCAGAGUCCGACCAAACUCUUGUAUUAAACCAGUCGUCUAGUAUAAAAUUUUAAUUAAUUAAAA
rnacentral:misc_RNA from 1 species